ACGCUAAAAGCUCGAAAGUGCGGGUAUCGAACAGGAUUAGAUACCCUGGUAGUCCGCACGGUAAACGAUGGAUGCCCGCUGUUUGCGAUAUACUGUGAGCGGCCAAGAGAAAUCGUUAAGCAUCCCACCUGGGGGAGUACGCCGGCAACGGUGAAACUCAAAGGAAUUGACGGGGGCCCGCACAAGCGGAGGAACAUGUGGUUUAAUUCGAUGAUACGCGAGGAACCUUACCCGGGCUUGAACUGCAGCGGAAUGCGGUGGAGACACCAAAGCCCUUCGGGGUCUCUGUGGAGGUGCUGCAUGGUUGUCGUCAGCUCGUGCCGUGAGGUGUCGGCUUAAGUGCCAUAACGAGCGCAACCCUUUUCAUUAGUUGCCAUCAGGUAGAGCUGGGCACUCUGGUGAUACUGCCACCGUAAGGUGUGAGGAAGGUGGGGAUGACGUCAAAUCAGCACGGCCCUUACGUCCGGGGCUACACACGUGUUACAAUGGGUGGUACAGAGAGUUGGUCGUUUGCAAAUGCGAUCUAAUCCUUAAAGCCAUCCUCAGUUCGGAUUGGGGUCUGCAACCCGACCCCAUGAAGCUGGAUUCGCUAGUAAUCGC
rnacentral:rRNA from 1 species